GACGAAGGGGGCUAGCGUUGCUCGGAAUCACUGGGCGUAAAGCGCACGUAGGCGGCUUGUUAAGUCAGGGGUGAAAUCCUGGAGCUCAACUCCAGAACUGCCUUUGAUACUGGCGAGCUUGAGUCCGGGAGAGGUGAGUGGAACUGCGAGUGUAGAGGUGAAAUUCGUAGAUAUUCGCAAGAACACCAGUGGCGAAGGCGGCUCACUGGCCCGGUACUGACGCUGAGGUGCGAAAGCGUGGGGAGCAAACAGG
rnacentral:rRNA from 1 species